GCGGGUGUAGUUUAGUGGUAAAACCUCAGCCUUCCAAGCUGAUGAUGGGAGUUCGAUUCUCCUCACCCGCUCCA
rnacentral:tRNA from 2 species